rnacentral:lncRNA from 1 species
GUGAAAUGAGCAAACUUAACGUAAGGAGACAUGUCUUGAAGAAGCUGAAAGGCCGAGAGUAUGUCUGUUUGGUGCGGUCCAGUGAGUAGGCAGAGUUUGUGGUGACCACCACAGUCGGUGCCAUUUAGCAGAGUUUGGAGGGCGUCGGUGAAAUACGCAGCGAGUCUCUCCAUGUUGGUGCCGUGAGUGGAGGACACUAAGUCCUUGAGCCGAAUCAAUAUCACUUGAGCCAGAUGGUGACUCUUGUUUGUGCCUGUUAAGGCCUCCGCUGCCGCCAUAAGGAGGUGCACUAGACGGAGGCCCUUUCUGUCGUCCUCCUCCUCCUCCGUCGUAGAAUUUGAGUUGGACAUGUCUCCCAUGGAUCCAUCUUCUUCUUCUUCUUCAUCAUCUUGCUCUACAACCUUGUUAUCUAGAUUUGGAGCAACGGGUGUGAUUUCGUCGUUGGUGAGUGAAUCAAUGAAGUUGUGAAAAUCAUCUUGGUUGGUGGUGAAGAAAUCCAAAUCAAGGAGAGGGGACCAAGUGGUGUCGUCAUCAGAAGUGGGUGGGGUGGUAGUGUUACUUUGAUUAGAGAAUUCUAGGAAAUCUGGGACAACAUCCAUGAUCAUGUCAAUGUCAAUAUCCAUGUCAUGAAUCUCCAUGUUCAUGAUUAUAUACACUUGAUGAUUACAUGUAGAUGUAAGAAAGAAGAGAGUUAUUAUUUAAGUAAGUUAAGUGUAGCACCCACCCGUGCCCUGCAAACUAAUGUGAAGGGUGAUUUAUAGAGUUUGUGGGAUAGAGAAAGAAGAUAGGCAUUGUAACAACUCACACUUCGAUCCAAAUCCUUAUUGUUAUUUUAUUGUAUUUUAAACAUGUAUUCACCCAAACUCACUUGAGUUAGAUGGUUUAGCUUUAGUUUAUAAGC